CGCGGGGAGACCAAAAUUUUAGAGCCAGCCCAUAAGUCCACAAGCCCACACCCGGGCGCCUCUAUCCCGAAACCCUAGCAAGUCAGUGCAGCCGCCUCCAUCUCUCCCGGUCAUCCCAAUCACCUCGUCUGAUCCCGAUCCACACAUUCCAGCCACCACCGUCCCCACUUCGGCGCCUCCUCGUUCCACCUCGACGCCGGUGAGGCAUCCGUCUUGGACCGCACACAAUCGGGGUGGCGGCAGAUCUAGAGUGGCGGCACUCUAUGACCGCCGGAGACCUUGGUGAUCUACAACAACGCGCAUCGGCAGCUGCUCCCUAAACCAUGGAGUGCGCUCGCAGCUGCUCACCAAGGCACGGCGUGCGGCUCCCAGGCAUCCGCACGCGGGGUAUAUGACUAACCAUGCGACAGGGGGUGGUGCCUCACUUGGCGACCGCGUGUGAAGGAUCCUCACGACGGCGGCCUAUUCCCUGCUCUUUUUUCUACUCCUUGGUCAGAUGUGGUUUUCAGGUGGUGGGCACCGGCAGCGAGUCACUCACCAGAGACGGGGAUCAUCAAACCCCAGCAUGCUCGCUGGAAACAGAUCCAUAGCAGCGCCGACGAUCUCAAGCAGGGUCGACUACAUAGCAAUGUGAUCCAGGAGGGACUGAGGACAGCUCAACUCCUGCAUUUCAUCGUGAAUUCGUCAAAUGCAGUCUUUAAUUUACAGCAACAUAGUUCACAAUAUGAUCAUGCUAACAUGAACAAAGUCUGUAGCAUACGCCUGCUGAAUAGCGAGGAACAUAUAAUUGUAUAUUGCUCAGUAAUGACUGAGCAAAGCUAGAAAUGCCAAAGGAAGUAGUUACUUAGGCAACAAAAACUGAUGGGCAGAAUAUUCAUUUCACAGAGCGCAGUUUGGAAUAAGACGACAUGCGUUGGCAUUGUUCUCCACUUCAGGACUCUGUAGUACGCCGACUCGUGCUUCUUUUUCUUCUUUACAGCUAGGAUAUUGUAAGGCCGAAGGAAAUAUAUCUCUACAUCUGAUCUUACUUGUCUUUGAUCCAAAGCAGGAUACAUAGCUCAUAUAUAGCAGUAGUAACAAGGAAGAGCCCUGAUUUCCACUGAGAAACUGAUGUAACAACCUCCUUGUCUCCUCCCUAAUGAGCCAAACAUGUUUGACAUUGCAGCGCAGAAUCUGAUAACAGUCGCAAAAGCGCAGAAUCUUAUACAUGUGAAAAAAUAUGUGAUUAUGCCCGUGUUUUAGUUCAGGUGGAUGCCUUUGCCUUGUUGCUUGGUAAAUAUGGCCAUAAUUAUUUGCCCCCUCUAAUUUUUUUUCCUGGGUCCGCCCCUGGCAAUGUAAGUCUCUGUUUCCCUGACUUAUGUUCCUUAUUUAAUUGAUUCAAGUUCACCUACCUGGAUGGUGUGGUUUGCAUACAAAAUAGUACAUAGCUGAUUUAAUCAUUCACGUAGGAUGGUGCAGGCGAUUGUUGGGGACUCGGUGCUGACCUGGGCGUCGCCGGAGAAAAGAUUGAUUGCUGGGGGCUCGGUGCUGAGCUGGGCGUCGCUGGAGAAAAUAUUGAUUGCUGGGGGCUCGGUGCUGACCUGGGCGUCACCGGAGAAAAGAUUGCUGCUGGUGUUCAUGAGAAAAAGGGGCUGUGAUUACAAGAUGAAAGGAAAUCUCCAUAUGCUAGCGAGGGACGUGGGUAACAGACGCACGACCCACACUGGCCAGGCAAGAGACCAAGUCAUGUACGGCUUGGAGGUGUCUUCCAACAAGCAGGCGAAAAACAAUGUCAGUGCUUGCUGUCAAUUAGAUGCCUAUCUCUUCCGGUCAAUAAAAAAGAGAUCUCACGGCAUGGAGGGACACCCAAGCUCCACAAUUCGGUCGCAGGGAGUUGCUCCGUUUUUCAUGCUCGCCGGCCACCCAAGCUCCAUCUACUGGGUGCCAUAGCCGGUCUGCUGGCAUCUUCUUAGGUAGCCUAAUCUUCAGGAUAAUUUUACUAUGGUAUAUAUUUAUACUCAGCUCAUCUAUCAUGUACAAUUAAUGUCAAGUAAGGUGGGUGAGAAAAAUGCCGGUGUAGGACAAUUGAAGUGGAGGUGUGAUCGCUGCAUUGGGAUCAAUGAUUACUUAAGAGACAAAGGUUUGAUUUAGUUGCGGCAAUGGCAAGAGCAUAUUGUGCAGAGGAAGAGGAUGAACCUUAAUGCGUUGAACCUUGUAUACUAGAACCUUGCAGGUGUUUUUGCAGAAGUAUUCUGUUGUGUACAUGUAAAAUUAUGUUGAUGCGCCCUUGUUAGGCGUUGAACCUUAAUGCGUGUAGUCGGUGGAUGAUGUAUUGUAUUUGAUGUGAUAUGCUA